rnacentral:rRNA from 1 species
GAUGAACGCUGGCGGCGUGCCUAAUACAUGCAAGUCGAGCGAACAGACGAGGCGCUUGCUCCUCUGACGUUAGCGGAGGACGGGUGAGUAACACGUGGAUAACCUCCCUAUAAGUCUGGGAUAACUUCGGGACACCGGAGCUAAUACCGGAUAAUCUAUUGAACCGCAUGGUUCAAUAGUGAAAGACGGUUUUGCUGUCACUUAUAGAUGGAUCCGCGCCGCAUUGGCUAGUUGGUAAGGUAACGGCUUACCAAGGGAACGAUGCGUAGCCGACCGGAGAGGGGGAUCGGCCACACUGGAACUGAGACACGGUCCAGACUCCUACGGGAGGCAGCAGUAGGGAAUCUUCCGCAAUGGGCGAAAGCUUGACGGAGCAAGGCCGCGUGAGUGAGGAAGGUCUUCGGAUCGUAAAACUCUGUUAUUAGGGAAGAACAAAUUUGUAAGUAACUAUGCACGUAUUGACGGUACCUAAUCAAAAAGCCACGGCUAACUACGUG